GGGCCCGCACAAGCGGUGGAGCAUGUGGUUUAAUUCGAUGAUACGCGAGGAACCUUACCAGGGCUUAAAUGUAGUGGGACAGGUCUAGAGAUAGACCCUUCUUCGGACUCAUUACAAGGUGCUGCAUGGUUGUCGUCAGCUCGUGCCGUGAGGUGUCAGGUUAAGUCCUAUAACGAGCGCAACCCCUGUCGUUAGUUACCAGCAAGUAAUGUUGGGUACUCUAGCGAGACUGCCGGUGCAAACCGUGAGGAAGGUGGGGAUGACGUCAAAUCAUCACGGCCCCUUACGUCCUGGGCUACACACGUGCUACAAUGGCCGGUACAGAGAGCAGCCACUACGCGAGUAGGAGCGAAUCUUCAAAGCCGGUCUCAGUUCGGAUCGCAGUCUGCAACUCGACUGCGUGAAGCUGGAAUCGCUAGUAAUCG
rnacentral:rRNA from 1 species